rnacentral:rRNA from 1 species
UACGUAGGGUGCAAGCGUUAAUCGGAAUUACUGGGCGUAAAGCGUGCGCAGGCGGUUAUAUAAGUCAGCUGGGAAAUCCCCGGGCUCAACCUGGGAACUGCAGUUGAGACUGUAUGGCUAGAGUGUGUCAGAGGGGGGUAGAAUUCCACGUGUAGCAGUGAAAUGCGUAGAUAUGUGGAGGAAUACCGAUGGCGAAGGCAGCCCCCUGGGAUAACACUGACGCUCAUGCACGAAAGCGUGGGGAGCAAACAGG